rnacentral:lncRNA from 1 species
GGUUUUUUGAGUUUUACACAAAUUUGGGUUUAUACAUGCUAUAUUAAGCUAUGUUAUGCUGGAUUAUGCAAUGAGUUUCAUACCAUCUGGGUUUCAAUUUCUGGAUUUUUAGUUCAUAUAUUAUUUGGGGGUUUCAUAUUUAUUUGCAUGCACUGAGUUUGUGGGUUGCAUAUCUGUUUGUAUGCACUGAGUGUGUACAGUAUGUAUGAGUGUGUAUUAGUUGAUAUGUAUGUUUGGAUUAUGCACCAUUUAGGGUUUCAACCUUUGGAUUAUGUUUUAGUUAUGG